rnacentral:rRNA from 1 species
AGUGAACGCUGGCGGUAGGCCUAACACAUGCAAGUCGAACGGCAGCACAGUAAGAGCUUGCUCUUACGGGUGGCGAGUGGCGGACGGGUGAGGAAUACAUCGGAAUCUACUUUUUCGUGGGGGAUAACGUAGGGAAACUUACGCUAAUACCGCAUACGACCUACGGGUGAAAGCAGGGGAUCUUCGGACCUUGGGCGAUUGAAUGAGCCGAUGUCGGAUUAGCUAGUUGGCGGGGUAAGGGCCCACCAAGGCGACGAUCCGUAGCUGGUCUGAGAGGAUGAUCAGCCACACUGGAACUGAGACACGGUCCAGACUCCUACGGGAGGCAGCAGUGGGGAAUAUUGGACAAUGGGCGCAAGCCUGAUCCAGCCAUACCGCGUGGGUGAAGAAGGUCUUCGGGUUGUAAAGCCCUUUUGUUGGGAAAGAAAAGCAGCAUGUUAAUACCUCGCUGUUCUGACGGUACCUAAAGAAUAAGCACCGGCUAACUUCGUG